GUACAGUAGGUGCAGCCAACUUUGAUAUCAAGCUGCUUUAAAUGUGAUAAAUGAAAAGGUGUUUUUUUUCCUCAUUAUAGUUAUGUUGAGAGUGUAGAUGUUUUUACAUUUGAUUUUGAGUGUCUUGUUGUACAGUACAGUUGCAAACUCUUGAAAACGUUUGAAUCAUUUCUCCAUACUUACGCACUCAUCUGUCAAGAUCCGACAGGUGAUCCAGGGACUUUGAUAUCAUGGACAGUGACUGCUUAUCUUUGCUACCAGAGGUCUGCCUGGUCCUGGCCGACCCCCAGCAGUCUCCACCCGAUGACACCUCUUUAGAGAAGCUGCUUGAUUGGUUCAAAGAGCUGCAUAUCCAAAGUAAUGGACAGGUGCUUUUGCAGCAUCAGCCGUGUCUCUUGGAGUUUAUUUCUAGUGUUUGUACGUCUAAAACUACAGAUCCUGCUAUCAUUUCUUUCACCCUCAAACUCACUGGACUUCUGGCUGCCACCAAACAGGGCUUCCAUUUGC